rnacentral:rRNA from 1 species
GCCUACGGGGGGCAGCAGUAGGGAAUCUUCCACAAUGGGCGAAAGCCUGAUGGAGCAACGCCGCGUGGGUGAAGAAGGUCUUCGGAUCGUAAAACCCUGUUGUUAGAGAAGAAAGUGCGUGAGAGUAACUGUUCACGUUUCGACGGUAUCUAACCAGAAAGCCACGGCUAACUACGUGCCAGCAGCCGCGGUAAUACGUAGGUGGCAAGCGUUAUCCGGAUUUAUUGGGCGUAAAGAGAACGCAGGCGGUCUUUUAAGUCUGAUGUGAAAGGCUUCGGCUUAACCGGAGUAGGGCAUUGGAAACU